AUUGAACGCUGGCGGCAGGCCUAACACAUGCAAGUCGAACGGUAACAGGAAGCUGCUUGCUGCAUUGAUCGCCGGAGGCGGGAGUGAUGGUUAUGAAUCGGCAACUGCGUGAUGGAGAAGGUUCACUAACGGAAACGGUAACUACAACCGCCUAGCGUCGCAAAAUCAAGGAGCGUCACAUUAGGGCCUCUCGCCAUCGGCUGUGCCCAGGUCGGAUUAGCUAGUAGGUGGGGUAACGGCUCACCUAGGCGACGAUCCCUAGCUGGUCUGAGAGGAUGACCAGCCACACUGGAACUGAGACACGGUCCAGACUCCUACGGGAGGCAGCAGUGGGGAAUAUUGGACAAUGGGCGCAAGCCUGAUGCAGCCAUGCCGCGUGUAUGAAGAAGGCCUUCGGAUUGUAAAGUACUUUCAGUUGGGAGGAAGGGAAGUAAGUUAAUACCUUGCUGUAUUGACGUUACCCGCAGAAGAAGCACCGGCUAACUCCGUG
rnacentral:rRNA from 1 species